rnacentral:rRNA from 1 species
UACGUAGGGGACGAGCGUUGUCCGGAUUUAUUGGGCGUAAAGAGCGCGUAGGCGGCUUGGUAAGUCGGAUGUGAAAUCCCGGGGCUCAACCCCGUGACUGCACCCGAAACUGCCCGGCUAGAGGUAGGUAGGGGAGAUCGGAAUUCCUGGUGUAGCGGUGAAAUGCGUAGAUAUCCGUAGGAACAUCCGAGGCGAAAGCGGCUCGCUGGAUCACAACUGACGCUGAGGGACGAAAGCUAGGGGAGCAAACAGG